UCGGCAACGACCACCCAGCGCCGGAAAGUUGGUCAAACUUGGUCAUUUAGAGGAAGUAAAAGUCGUAACAAGGUCUCCGUAGGUGAACCUGCGGAGGGAUCAUUA
rnacentral:rRNA from 1 species